rnacentral:lncRNA from 1 species
AGAUGAAACCCAGUGCAGCAGCAUGACAGAAGAUACAUUGAACCAGUCAGCAGACCCAUGAAGAGAGAAACUGGACCUUUCUGUGGAAAUUUCACCAGAUGAGUGAUUUUAAACCUGACAUCAAAAAUUACAAUGCCCACAGAACCAACUGCAUGUGAAAGGACUAAAGUGAAAAUUUAGAGGUGUCCUGUUGUCCUUCAGGUACUUAAUUAUUCAGGUUCAUGUAUAUCAAAGAAACCCAUUAUCAUUAAGUCCUCUUGACAGACAAAGAACAAAAUGGCUGAUUGGUUUUACAGAGAGUACAAAAGAAAAGGAAAAGCAGUUGAAAAGAGUGAAAAUAAAAUCACAUUAUCCUUGAUGACUGCAGACAGUUUAAACGUGACAGCUGGUUCUUCGUUUGUGGACAUCUGCAGAAAGCUAACAGAAGUCAAUUUCCUGUGGAGAGCAACUUUUUGUCUGAGUGGUUGGAUUGGAAUUAACCAUUGGAUCUGA